rnacentral:rRNA from 1 species
AUGAUUUUAAAGAAAUGCAAGGGACUUCCCCUUGCAAUAGUCACCAUAGGUGGUUUCCUGGCAAACCAGCCAAAAACAGCCUUGGAGUGGAAGAAAUUGAAUGAGCAUAUUAGUGUUGUUGAGUUGCAGAUGAAUCCAGAGCUUGAGGCCAUCAUAACAGUCCUUAAUAAAAGUUAUGAUGGUUUACCAUAUCAUCUCAAGUCUUGUUUCUUGUAUCUUCCCAUAUUUCCUGAGGACUAUAACAUUAAGCUCAAACGUUUGUUGCGGCGGUGGAUUGCUGAAGGUUACCCAGGCAGAGGUUGUCAUGAGCU